GGAAUAUUGGACGAUGGGCGCAAGCCUGAUCCAGCCAUGCCGCGUGUGUGAAGAAGGCCUUCGGGUUGUAAAGCACUUUUGUACGGGAAGAAAAGCACUCGGUUAAUACCCGGGUGUCAUGACGGUACCGUAAGCAUAAGCACCGGCUAACUUCGUGCCACCAGCCGCGGUAAUACGAAGGGUGCAAGCGUUACCCGGAAUUACUGGGCGUAAAGCGUGCGUAGGUGGUUUGUUAAGUCUGAUGUGAAAGCCCUGGGCUCAACCUGGGAAUUGCAUUCGAGACUGUGUUGCUGGAGUACGGAAGAGGAGGGCGGAAUUCCCGGUGUAGCGGUGAAAUGCGUAGAUAUCGGGAGGAACAUCAGUGGCGAAGGCGGCCCUCUGGUCCAGUACUGACACUCAAGUGCGAAAGCGUGGGGAGCAAAC
rnacentral:rRNA from 1 species